AGCUUCCUCUCCACCAGGGAAGACUUCAAAGGCCACAGAUCAUUUUCAGAACCAAAGGUCAUCAUCUGAACAAAUGAGCCACCGUGGCUUGGCGAUCAGGGACUCCGACAGCUGUGGAUGAGGCACCAGCUCCACUACUUGUUAGCCUUGAUCAGACCGUCAGGGAUGGGAAGGACUGAUGCUCCAGGUGGCCAUCUGACCCCUGAUGGACAGGAGACCAGGACAAGCCCACUGGACGAGCCGGAGGGGUCCAGGAGGAGGGAGCUGAGAGCUUUUGCUAAGGUUGACACAUGCUGGUAAGGAGCUCAUCUGCUGUCCACCAGUGAAUAAACAUGGACAGCCCUGAGGAUAGAGAGGUGAAUAAAAACAACUCUUGCUCUCAAGAAGCUUAUGGUCCGGUGGAAGAAACAAAGAAGGAAACAAACACAGUAAAAGCUUUCUUAAACGAACCUAAAAACAGACCCAUCAGAUAAACCCCUCCUCUCCAUUCCUCUGGGUAAUCAGCUGACUGACGGCCAGGAUGUGCUGACCCUCAGAGCAGGUAGGCUGCCCUCUGGUAUCUGUGGCUCUUCUGCUCCCACUUGUUCAUUCCUAUGCUAAGUCAGCUGCGUUGUUCCAGAUGUGUUUAUGUCAGCUGCAUCUCUAAUUAUGAAAUCUUACCUUAUCAAAUCAUAGGCAAACCAAUGAAACAGGAGUGCCAAAAUAAAAAUUUCUAAUAAAUACUAAGUUUUGUUGCUGCUUACAAUAAAAUCCCUUGCUUAAGCACUGUUCCUCUCGGCGGAAGGUCCUCCCGCACCUCAUCUAUGACCUAACCAUCUUCAAAGCUGGCUUUUGUAAGAAGUGCUC